UGAACUAUGGUGUCGUGCUCCUGUUGGGUGUUGUAUCGUUGAUGGCUGGGUCGACUGCUGGUGCAGCGAUGUCUCCUUGGUAUGGCGGAAACCAAACCGCAACGCCGCCGCUUUCCUACACAACUUACGCAACGACCAGUUCCUGCACUGAUGUCUUCCAGUACUACACCACCAAAGCACCGGAGUUUUAUACCACAACUUACGCUGCCCCGAGCCACUACACUGAUGCCCUGAAGUAUUACUCUGCCCUGAGUUACUACACCAUCUAGGCGACGGAGUACUACAUGACUACGUAUACUGCCUAUCCUACUACACCGAGGCUUCUAACUGUUACACCGAGGCUCCCGCUGAUUUCUCCACCAAGACGGUCGAAUACUACACCCAAGCGGCGAAGUACUUCUCUGCCCCGAUCCACAACCGAGGCGGCCAAGUAUUACGCAGUCCCGACUUGCUACCCGAAAGCUGUCUUUCAUGCUACGUUGAACAGAAAUACUACACUGAUGCUCCCAUCUACUACACCACGACCUACGCUACACCUAGCUACAACACCGCAGCCCACAAGUACUACACCGAAGAAGCCGCCUAUUACACAACUACGUACGCUGCCUAGUUUAGUACAUCGACGAAAUUAAGUAUUGCCCUGCUCGAAACUACUACCAAACUUAGGUUCAUAUUUAUUGCAAUUUUCACGACUAAACUAUGUCACCUAAAGUAUUUCUCUGUAUGUGUUGAAAGAUUGUUGGAAUACAAGAUUGAUUGAUAAA